rnacentral:lncRNA from 1 species
GGGUUAGGGUUGGGCUUGGAGCUAGGAUUUUUCUGAGUGCAAUGAACCAACUCCCGAGUCUCUUGGACGUUCCUAAAAAAUUUUGAUUUUUUCCCAUAGGAAUGCAUGGGUUAGGGUUAGGGUUAGGGUUGGAGCUAGGGUUAGGGUUAGGGUUAGGGUUGGAGUUAGGGUUAGUGUUGGAGCUAGGGUUAGGGUUGGGCUUGGAGCUAGGAUUUUUCUGAGUGCACUGAACCAACUCCCGAGUCUCUAGGACAUUCCUAAAAAAAUUUGAUUUUUUCCCAUAGGAAUGCAUGGGUUAGGGUUAUAAUUAGGGUUAGGGUUGGAGCUAGGGUUAGGGUUAGGGUUAGGGUUGGAGUUAGGGUUAGUGUUGGAGCUAGGGUUAGGGUUGGGCUUGGAGCUAGGAUUUUUCUGAGUGCAAUGAACCAACUCCCGAGUCUCUUGGAUGUUC